GAUGAACGCUGACAGAAUGCUUAACACAUGCAAGUCAACUUGAACUUCGGUUUGGGUGGCGGACGGGUGAGUAACGCGUAAAGAACUUGCCUCACAGAUAGGGACAACAUUUGGAAACGAAUGCUAAUACCUGAUAUUAUGAUUAUAUGGCAUCGUAUAAUUAUGAAAGCUAUAUGCGCUGUGAGAGAGCUUUGCGUCCCAUUAGCUAGUUGGAGAGGUAACGGCUCACCAAGGCGAUGAUGGGUAGCCGGCCUGAGAGGGUGAUCGGCCACAAGGAGACUGAGACACGGCCCUUACUCCUACGGGAGGCAGCAGUGGGGAAUAUUGGACAAUGGACCAAGAGUCUGAUCCAGCAAUUCUGUGUGCACGAUGAAGUUUUUCGGAAUGUAAAGUGCUUUCAGUUGGGAAGAAAAAAAUGACGGUACCAACAGAAGAAGUGACGGCUAAAUACGUG
rnacentral:rRNA from 1 species